UACGUAGGGGGCAAGCGUUGUCCGGAAUCAUUGGGCGUAAAGCGCGCGUAGGUGGCCUCGUAAGUCCGCUGUGAAAGUCAAAGGCUCAACCUUUGAAAGCCGGUGGAUACUGUGGGGCUAGAGUACGGAAGAGGCGAGUGGAAUUCCUGGUGUAGCGGUGGAAUGCGCAGAUAUCAGGAGGAACACCAAUAGCGAAGGCAGCUCGCUGGGACGUUACUGACACUGAGGCGCGAAAGCGUGGGGAGCGAACAGG
rnacentral:rRNA from 1 species